GCCAAGAAGUAUGUUUCCCCCACCUCCUAUCAAAGACUGUGUCCCUAAUUUUAAAAGUCUAACGGUGCUAGUCUCUUUCUGGAUUCAUCUAUGCUAUGCCUGGACUCUCUCUGCCACAGAAACUCAGGGCCUCCCCCAACCAUCAUUCUCAGUAAGCUGACACAGGAACAGAAAAACAAGCACAGCAUGUUCUCAUUCGUAAGUGGGAAUUGAACAAUGAGAACACAUGAACACAGGUAGGU
rnacentral:lncRNA from 13 species